AACGAACGCUGGCGGCAGGCUUAACACAUGCAAGUCGAACGCCCCGCAAGGGGAGUGGCAGACGGGUGAGUAACACGUGGGAACAUGCCCAAAGGUACGGAAUAUUCUCGGGAAACUGGGAGCAAUACCGUAUGUGCCCGAAAGGGGAAAGAUUUAUCGCCUUUGGAUUGGCCCGCGUUGGAUUAGCUAGUUGGUGGGGUAAAAGCCUACCAAGGCGACGAUCCAUAGCUGGUCUGAGAGGACGACCAGCCACACUGGGACUGAGACACGGCCCAGACUCCUACGGGAGGCAGCAGUGGGGAAUCUUGGACAAUGGGCGCAAGCCUGAUCCAGCCAUGCCGCGUGAGUGAUGAAGGCCCUAGGGUUGUAAAUAUCUUUUAUCUGGGAAGAAACACUUCUAUUCUUAGAAGCUUGACGGUACCAGAGGAAUAAGCACCGGCUAACUCCGUGCCAGCAGCCGCGGUAAU
rnacentral:rRNA from 1 species